ACGCUCGACACCUACGAGGCAGCAGUGGGGAAUAUUGCACAAUGGGGGGAAACCCUGAUGCAGCGACGCCGCGUGAGCGAAGAAGUAUUUCGGUAUGUAAAGCUCUAUCAGCAGGGAANAAACUGACGGUACCUGACUAAGAGCACCGGCUAAAUACGUGCCAGCAGCCGNGUAUCUGAGCGGGCGUGGACGAAGGC
rnacentral:rRNA from 1 species